UUGCGUAGGUGGUUUGUUAAGUGGGUAGUGAAAUCUAGCGGCUCAACCGUAUAGGCUAUUACCUAAACUGGCAAACUCGAGAAUGGUAGAGGUAACUGGAAUUUCUUGUGUAGGAGUGAAAUCCGUAGAUAUAAGAAGGAACACCAAUGGCGUAGGCAGGUUACUGGACCAUUUCUGACACUGAGGCACGAAAGCGUGGGGAGCGAAG
rnacentral:rRNA from 1 species